rnacentral:rRNA from 1 species
AGGGUUUGAUCAUGGCUCAGAUUGAACGCUGGCGGUAUGCUUAACACAUGCAAGUCGAACGGAAACGAUGGUAGCUUGCUACCAGGCGUCGAGUGGCGGACGGGUGAGUAACGCGUAGGAAUCUACCUGAUAGUGGGGGAUAGCCCAGAGAAAUCUGGAUUAAUACCGCAUAAUCUCUAUGGAGUAAAGUGGGGGAUCUUCGGACCUCACGCAAGGAGAGCUAAUACCGGAUAACAAUGCAUGACACAAGUUGUACAUUUGAAAGCUUUAUGUGCUGAAGGAGGGGUCUGCGUCCCAUUAGCUAGUUGGUAGGGUAAAGGCUUACCAAGGCAACGAUGGGUAGCGGGUUUGAGAGGACGAUCCGCCACACUGGAACUGAGACACGGUCCAGACUCCUACGGGAGGCAGCAGUGGGGAAUAUUGCACAAUGGAGGAAACUCUGAUGCAGCAAUGUCGCGUGAGUGAAGAAGGCCCUUGGGUCGUAAAGCUCUUUUAUGGGGGAAGAUGAUGACGGUACCCCAAGAAUAAGCACCGGCUAACUAUGUGCCAGCAGCCGCGGUAAUACAUAGGGUGCGAGCGUUGUUCGGAAUUACUGGGCGUAAAGGGCGCGCAGGCGGAAUAGUAAGUCGGAGGUGAAAGCCCGGGGCUCAACCCCGGAGGGUCUUUCGAAACUACUAAUCUAGAGAGGGUCAGGGGCCGGCAGAAUUCCUGGUGUAGAGGUGAAAUUCGUAGAUAUCAGGAGGAAUA